rnacentral:rRNA from 1 species
CCUACGGGGGGCAGCAGUCGGGAAUUUUGGGCAAUGGGCGAAAGCCUGACCCAGCAACGCCGUGUGCAGGAUGAAGGCCCUCGGGUCGUAAACUGCUGUCAGGGGGAACGAAUGGCUCGAGGCCAAUACCCUCGAGAGUUGACGGUACCCCCAAAGGAAGCACCGGCUAACUCCGGCCAGCAGCCGCGGU